rnacentral:tRNA from 1 species
UGAAGUGUGGCUCAGAGGGUAAAGUGUCUGCCUGCAAUGCAGGAGACCUGGGUUCGAUCCCUGGUUCAG